GCCCGCCUAGCCGACUUGGUAGAGGCAGGUGGUCCAGACCCGCGGUGUUCCCGGUUCGAGUCCGGGGGCGGGCAC
rnacentral:tRNA from 1 species